AGCGCAGGAAGCUGACAGAAGCCUUCGGGUGGACGUCAGUGGAAUGAGCGGCGGACGGGUGAGUAACACGUGGGCAACCUGCCCUGCAGACCGGGACAACCUCGUGAAAACGAGGCUAAUACCGGAUGACCGUAAGUAUCGCAUGGUACCUACGUAAAAGAGGGGAUUCGUCCUCUCACUGCAGGAUGGGCCCGCGGCGCAUUAGCUUGUUGGUGAGGUAAGGGCUCACCAAGGCGACGAUGCGUAGCCGACCUGAGAGGGUGAUCGGCCACACUGGGACUGAGACACGGCCCAGACUCCUACGGGAGGCAGCAGUAGGGAAUCAUCCGCAAUGGGCGAAAGCCUGACGGUGCAAUGCCGCGUGAACGAUGAAGGUUCUCGGAUCGUAAAGUUCUGUUAUGAGGGAAGAACAAGUGCCGUUUGAAUAAGGCGGCACCUUGACGGUACCUCACGAGAAAGCCCCGGCUAACUACGUGCCAGCAGCCGCGGUAAUACGUAGGGGGCAAGCGUUGUCCGGAAUUAUUGGGCGUAAAGCGCGCGCAGGCGGUCUCUUAAGUCUGAUGUGAAAGCCCACGGCUCAACCGUGGAGGGUCAUUGGAAACUGGGGGACUUGAGUGUAAGAGAGGAAAGUGGAAUUCCACGUGUAGCGGUGAAAUGCGUAGAUAUGUGGAGGAACACCAGUGGCGAAGGCGACUUUCUGGCUUACAACUGACGCUGAGGCGCGAAAGCGU
rnacentral:rRNA from 1 species